UGAAGGCGAAACUUCUCCAACUCCUGGGACAACAAGCCGAACUGUUCGCUUUGGCUGCGGCAUUUCUCCUCCAGGUCUCGUACCUUCGACUGCACGCAACACGCAGAACAAUCAGGAAACAUAAUAGAAAAAAAAAGGCUGGAAAAAGUCCCUUUCCAAAACUACUGGAGAGAACUGAUCCUGAUGUGAUAAUGGGAAAGUGAAAUUUUCCUUUUAAUCAGUCAUAAUAAGGAUAAACUGCAGCAAAAUUAGGCACGUGUCCUGCGGAAACCUUUUCAUGUCCCCAAUUUUGAUGAUUAGAAUUUGCUUUGUGAACCUUUAACUUCACUUUUAACACAAUAGAUAGACAAUGCAGUAACCACACACUGCUUCAUUAAAGUUGGUACAAGUUUCACACUGCAAACUACUCCAGAACCAGUGGGAAGAGGAGGGGUAAAUAAGGACAAGCAGUGGGACGGUUUUGAUGGAAUAAUAUUUGUCAGACAACCUUUUACGGCUUGUGUGACGCUACGUGUGCUUCGUAUCACACCCACUGAGACAAAGCAAGGUUGUUUGUCAGAACUCUGUAUCAGAAAGUACUUCAUGCGCUGCUGCUGAGUUUCUGACUGUUUACAACCACUGCCUGAUGUGUGAAAGGGCCGCUGACAGGAGAGACGUCCAAACAUCAGGAAACAAGACUCCAAAUCCUGAAGUCUGAAGCUCAACUCUGGGACCCAUAAGCAGACGGGAAAGGGAGGAGACCUAGGCUCCCUGUGACGCUGCCUGAAGCUAGAAACUCUGUGAACAACUGAGUAUCCGCAUUACUCACUGGACAAGCUUUGGACCUAUAUAACACUCGAAUGAUGC